AUGGUACCCUGAGUUUGGUCGCUGAUGAGGUUCCUCAUCAAGGGCAGUGUGGCUGGGGGUGCUGUCUACCUGGUGUACGACAAGGAGCUGCUGGGGUCCAGUGACAAGAGUCAGGCAGUCCUUCAGAAAGCCGAGGAGGUGGUCCCCAAUGCCGUGUACCAGUUCAGCCUGUACGUGUGCGAGCAGACAGGCCUGAAGUUACCGCAGCUCCCAGCCCCUCCAAAGUUUAACUUUCACAUCCGAGACUCUUGGAAUUCAGGCAUCAUCACCAUGAUGUCAGCCCUGUCCGUGGCCCCCUCCAAGGCCUGGGAGUACUCCAAGGAGGGCUGGGAAUACCUGAAGGAGCGAACCAAGUAGCCUGUCAGAGAAGCUGUCUGCCCCAGGCGGGAACAGGGGCAGGGGCGCCACAAACACCAGACUGAGACCCAACUGGGCAGCUCCUGGCCUUGCUGGCCCAAUAAAGGACUUGGAAGUGUU